rnacentral:rRNA from 1 species
UACGAAGGGGGCUAGCGUUGUUCGGAAUUACCGGGCGUAAAGCGCGCGUAGGCGGACCUGCAAGUCGGGGGUGAAAGCCCCGGGCUCAACCUGGGAAUUGCAUUCGAGACUGAAUAGCUAGGGUACGGUAGAGGGAAGCGGAAUUUCCGGUGUAGCGGUGAAAUGCGUAGAUAUCGGAAGGAACAUCAGUGGCGAAAGCGGCUUCCUGGACCAGUACCGACGUUCAGGCACGAAAGCGUGGGGAGCAAACAGG